rnacentral:rRNA from 1 species
UGACGGUACCUUGAUAAGAAGCACCGGCUAACUACGUGCCAGCAGCCGCGGUAAUACGUAGGGUGCGAGCGUUAAUCGGAAUUACUGGGCGUAAAGCGUGCGCAGGCUGUUUUGUAAGUCAGAUGUGAAAUCCCCGAGCUCAACCUGGGAACUGCGUUUGAAACUACAAGACUAGAAUAUGUCAGAGGGGGGUAGAAUUCCACGUGUAGCAGUGAAAUGCGUAGAGAUGUGGAGGAAUACCAAUGGCGAAGGCAGCCCCCUGGGAUAAUAUUGACGCUCAUGCACGAAAGCGUGGGGAGCAAACAGGAUUAGAUACCCUGGUAGUCCACGCCCUAAACGAUGUCUACUAGUUGUUGGUGGAGUAAAAUCCAUGAGUAACGCAGCUAACGCGUGAAGUAGACCGCCUGGGGAGUACGGUCGCAAGAUUAAAACUCAAAGGAAUUGACGG